ensembl:ncRNA asRNA:CR43425 antisense RNA:CR43425
CCUUUUGUCUUUUGUAUAACUGUCUGUUCGUACGUAUGAACGCCCAGAUAUUGGAAACGAAAAUCGCCAAUGGUGCAUGUGAUUUGUCUGAAAACGAUAUGACGCCCAUAACGCUGAUGCCCAUGUUCUGAAGGAUUUUCGGAUACCUUAAUCGUAUAACAGCGAAGCUCGAGCGAUCUUAAUCUUUACCACGUUUCGAGGCACGUAAGGGUCAUUUCAAAAUGUAAACCAAAAACGCAGACUUCGUAACGAGACCUAAAGUCAGUUGCACCCGUUCUGAGCGUUCCUGCGUGUGGGGGAAAAAAUAUCAUUGCAACAGCAGGAUCUCAGCCUGCUCCAAGUUAGGAGUAUGAGAAGGAAUGGCGAGCAGUAGGCGAGGCUUCUCGUUAUCUCGGCAAGGAUGAAAACGGCUUCUAAGGCAGUUAAACUUUAUACAUAUAAUCUCCUACAGUACGUCGUUAACCAACGUGGAAAGGCCUUCAACACAGUUACAACGACAGGGUGAGUGCAUAAUAUGUAAGCCUGAUGUUGGUUCCCAUUAAGUGCAAGAUAAAGACAAAUAAAUAUAUAUUAAAUUUGAACCUCAUAAGUAACAAUGGGACGGUUAUCCAGAUUAGAGUUGAUUGAAUCCCCAUAUAAUUCUAUGGUUUAAGCUAAAUUUCUGAACUAUUAAUUUUGUUAAGAAAAUAGUGAAGUUCGGCACGCUGAAGUCGCCAUGAUACAAAAAAGAUAAAUAUAUUAAGAAUGGAAGUAGUUAUUUAAUUUAGCUUUAUUGUGCUAUAAUAUUAGAUCAUGGACUAGAAUUAUAAGAUUACUAGUAUGCCUCCAGAAAUCGAAUGAUAUGCAUAUGGUGUAGGUGUUAAAAAUAUUUAAAUAAACAUGAAUUUUGAAUUUUUAAACAUUUUUAAACAUUUGAACAAUAACAUGGUGUCCUUGAUAUUAUGGAGUAGUAACGGAUUACUGUCUCCUUCACAGUACAGAAAGGAAAUCUAAUCAUGUGUGGGAGCUCCCAAAUAUAUACAGUCGCACCGAAGCGCUCAUAGGGUGGUGGGCUAAGACGCGAUUUCUACGAAAAAUAGCCUCGUAGAUAUAUCAAUUUGAGGUCUCUAUUCAAACGACACGCCCCACGUAAAAUAAAUAGUAGGCAAGAAUUUUCUAUAUAUAUCGUGUAGGUGCCCAUAGCUCACGGAAACGAACAUUUUCAAUGAACGCCGCUACAGGCUGUUUUGCUAGAUGAUUUUUGAAGGAUAUUCAUCACGUAGGUCGUCCGAAAGAAACGAGGAUAAUGAGGGAAUACCUUCGAGAAGUAUGUUCAGUUCUUACUCAGGAUAAGCAGGGAAAUGAAUGGCACAUACAUUCUGUGAUAUUUAGUGUAUUGAAUUUAAAUUAAACUCUACGGAAUGUUAGAUUUUGCUGUUACCGUUAAGUUUUAUGACAUGAAAUUUUGGUCUCGAUACUGAGCAGUUUCCUGCUCGGAGGCCUGCACAAUUUAAUAUGAAUAACAUUUUAACCAAAAAAUAAAUUUUUUUUUCUUAUGUGGUUUUGCGAAAUAGAAUUUGUUAGUUAAGUUUUGUCUUAGGUCGGAUCAUUUGGAAAUAAUUGCUCUACUUAAAAAGUGUUGUAAAAUACUCCGUUGUAAGUGCUGCCAAAUACGUGAAAUAAAGAUCAACGUUACGGACGAAAUUCUCAUUAAAUAAAGUAUAAAUAUUAAAAUAUAUGUAAGUAUUUAUUUCAAAGUAUCUAUUGACAAAAAAAAUGAAUAGUGAAAAGAUAAAGUUACGAGGGUAAAGCUGUUAGAUAUUAAAAAGGUUUUAUAAAAAAUAUGUGUAAUGUAGAGUUGACGUAGACUUUAAGUGUCCAAUUUUUUUGUGUUGUGAAGUUUAAGUUUGUUUAUAAUUCUAGAAUUAUAUUGAAAUUAUAUUGAAAAUGGUUAAAUUAUUAAGGCACUUUAAACUCAUUUUUAAUUUUUUUUUUUUCGUGUAAGGAAGGAAGUUCGGGGAACUUAGCUAGCUUUCUGCUACAUUCUAGCUUACAAAUUCUAGCAACUGAUUUUGACAUUCAUAUGGAAUACAUAUAUAAAUGUGUGUUUAUAUUAUUUUGCAAACAGAAGCUAUUUAUUAUUUUAUUUUUAAAGACUGCACUUUAAAAUGAAAUAAAUGUUUAGUAAAAAACCAGAGAGAAUGCUAUGCUAUAAUCGAGUACCCCGAGUACCCGUUACUCAGCAAGUGUGAAUGCGAACGCAAAAUUUCAUCAUUUUUCGGUAUAUCAAUAGAUUUUGGGAAAUAAAAUGAAAAAAAAUUUUAAAAAUUUUCCAAAUUGUGGGAGUGACUGGUUCGGCGGCUUCAAGGCGUUAGACUAGAAAAAACCUCGACGUUCAUACGGACAUAUGGACAUGGCUACAUUGACUCGGCUAUUGAUCCUGAUCAAGAAUAUAUAUACUUUAUAUAAUCGGAAAUGCUUCCUUCCGCCUGUUACAUACUUUUCAACGAAUUUACUCUACGAGGAACGUGUAUAAAUACAUACAUUUUUGUUAUUAUUCUUGUUUAAGCAUUUAAUUACUCUAAAGUUAUAAGUCCAAAUAUAUACACACUCGGCAUGCUCGACAGAAUUAAAAUUCACAACAAGAAGGAGAUAUAUGUGUUGUAUUGUUAUUGUGCUCGUUUUUAGAACUUUUAUUAAUUAUUGAGGGCCCAACUCAUUGGGUUAGCAUUUGACAAGGAUAAAGCCAAGACCUCUUCAAGUAUUACAAUGUGCCAUACGAUUUAUGAGACUUUUCGUCCUUUUGGAUAAGCUACCGGCUCAACAAAACCUAAGCUGGUGUCUGCAUCUAUUACUUUACGCCCCCAGAGCUAGUUUAGAAUUAUUUAGCCCCUACUGAGACACACUUAAAUAUAAAUAUAAAUAUAAAUAAAUAAAUAUAAAUUAAAGUUAUAUUAAAGAUAUUACUUCCAUACUAUGAAGACCUGCACAUCCACAUUUAGAGGUUUGCUUAAGGAUCAUCUUAACAUGUUAAUUAUUAUUUCCACGAUUUACGUAAUAUACUUUAUUUUAUUGCAAUAGAAAAAAAUAAAGAUUCACAUGGACUUAUGUGAAGAAUCUUUAACAAAUUUGUUCAAGAAUUACCAAUUAAUUAUUAUACAGGUACUUAUUUACAUAAAUAGGAAUGUGCGUGUUGUGAGUUUAGAAUGUACAGAUGAUAAUGAAUUUAAAAAUAACUAAUUCAGUGACUGCCCUGCAUUAUGUACAAAUGUACAAGUGCCAAAAGACAGAAAUAUUACAAUUUUUUUUUGCAAGUGUGUGGGUGCGCAUUUUAAAGUUGCUUAAAACAUAAAUAUUUAACCUAAUAAACGUAUUAUUUCUGUAUACCUGACCAGACAUAUACAUAUUUUUUUAUCAUACUUUAAGUUUAGAUAUAUAUUUAUAUUCAUAUAUUAUGCAUGAUUUCUUCAACUAGCAUUGUUGCCUAGGAUUUCUUGUAAUAAAAACCUGUCCAAAGAAUAAAUUCAAAUAAAGUUGUUUUGUCCAAUU